CCCUUAGAUGUCCUGGGCUGCACGCGCGCUACACUGAUGCGCUCAACGAGUUUACGAUCUUGCCUGAAAUGGCUGGGUAAUCUUUUUAAAACGCAUCGUGAUGGGGAUAGAUCAUUGAAAUUAUUAAUCUUGAACGAGGAAUUCCUAGUAAACGCAGAUCAUCAAUCUGCAUUGAUUACGUCCCUGCCCUUUGUACACACCGCCCGUCGCACCUACCGAUUGGAUGGUCCGGUGAAGCCUCGGGAUUGUGGUUCUUGCCGCUUUAUUGUGGCGUGACCGCGAGAACUUGUCUAAACCUUAUCAUCUAGAGGAAGGUGAAGUCGUAACA
rnacentral:rRNA from 1 species